GACGAACGCGGGGGCGUGCUUAAUACAUGCAAGUGGGACGCAAGGAACCCACUGUGCUUGCACACCGUGUUUUCUUGAGUCGCGAACGGGUGAGUAACGCGUAGGUAACCUGCCUAUAAGCGGGGGAUAACUAUUGGAAACGAUAGCUAAUACCGCAUAAUAUUAAUUAUUGCAUGAUAAUUGAUUGAAAGAUGCAAGCGCAUCACUAGUAGAUGGACCUGCGUUGUAUUAGCUAGUUGGUAAGGUAAGAGCUUACCAAGGCGACGAUACAUAGCCGACCUGAGAGGGUGAUCGGCCACACUGGGACUGAGACACGGCCCAGACUCCUACGGGAGGCAGCAGUAGGGAAUCUUCGGCAAUGGACGAAAGUCUGACCGAGCAACGCCGCGUGAGUGAAGAAGGUUUUCGGAUCGUAAAGCUCUGUUGUAAGUCAAGAACGUGUGUGAGAGUGGAAAGUUCACACAGUGACGGAGCUACCAG
rnacentral:rRNA from 1 species